UCACUUGUUCUUUAAAUGAGGACUAGAAUCAACGGCAUCACGAGGACCCCACUGUCUCCCCCCUCCAAUCAGUGAAACUGAUCUCUCCGUGAAGAAGCGGAGAUAUAAAUAUAAGACGAGAAGACCCCAUGGAGCUUUAAACCCAACAACACCCAUUUUAUUUUUACCCAUAUAUUAACUAGGAUUUGUUUGUUUGGUUUUAGGUUGGGGUGACCACGGAGCACAAAAUAACCUCCAUGAAAAAAGGACUCAAAAUCCUUAUCAAAGAAGCACACUUCUAAGAAUUAAUAAAUUAAUUUUUAAUGAUCCGAUAUUCGAUCAACGAACCAAGUUACCCUGGGGAUAACAGCGCAAUCCACCUUAAGAGCUCCUAUCGACAGG
rnacentral:rRNA from 1 species